AUCGCUUCUCAACCUUUUGGCUAAGAUCAAAGUGUAGCGUCUGUUCUGUUUAGCUUAAUUCAUAAAUAAUUAAUCAAGAUGGUUUUCAGAAGGAACCGCAUGGGGGCCGACCUGACAGGGCAUAUUGCUAGCAAUGGGGCUAGUGGAACCCCAUUACUAACAAUCCCUU
rnacentral:snRNA from 1 species